CUUAAUAUUUCAGUGUUUAACUGCAUGAGACAAUAUAGGUUAUUCUCUUUUUUUUCCUGUUCAGUUUACAUAAAGAUAUGGAGAAUCUUAUUUGUUGACAUCCUACAUGGUGGCAGAUUAUGAUGCUGGUUUAGUGCGGAGACCAUCACUUGCUGUGCAAAACUAUCCUGCAGCUUUUUGACGUGAAAGGGUUUGUAGAUGAGCUCAGAGAAAAUGCUGUUAUAUUUCCUAAUCAUUUAAGAAGAAAAACACAUUCUCCCAAAAUGCUCUCUUUAAUAGAUUUAUGUUAUCUCCCACAUUGUAAACUUGCAACUCAGCUAAUGUUCUACAAAUAUGUUAAAAAUUUCUGGGCUUCCAAACCCAAGCACUGUAGAUGCCUGCUAUGGAACCGUUUUUUUUUUUUUAAUUGCCAACACUCUGUGUCCUUCAUUCUGCCAUCCAGGCACUAAUGUAAAUGAAAAGCAUUGGGACAUGGCGUGUUUCUAAUGUGUGGACAGGGACAAAAACCUUGGAUCUGGGGUAUUCUGUCGGCCCUGUGACACACAUCCCAGCCUCGACCUGCAUACACAUCUUCACCUCCCCUUUUUCUCCUCCUUUUCAAUUGAUGGCUCUUCUAAAUCAAUAAAAAUGAUCUUGGAGUCCAUCACCAUUUGGCUGCAUCAUCUUAGAAGUGCCUUCUUUAGAAUAUAGCAGCCAUACUGUACAAUGGGCCAGCCAAGCACACAUAAUUUGCCAUUGAUUUCCCCACUCUCUUCUCGACUCCUUAGCCCCUAGUCACUGCACAGAGCACAAAAACUAACUUCAUCAUAGACUCCGUUAAUGCACAUGCACAAUAACCCUCUUUUCUCCUGCCCUCUGGUAAUUUCACUCUUUUCUUAUCUUUUUCACUUUCCCUAUUUUUGCUCCUUUUCUAUCCUUCGUCGUUCACUUAUCCACUAUGUGCCCUUUUCCUGAAAUCUCUUCACAGGUCACUGUUCUUUCUCCUUAUGGACAACAUGUGCAAAUGACGCAAGAGCUUGUUGUUCAGCUUCUACUUGGACUCCGGAUCCAGAUCCAGCUUCCAUGCUUUACAUGGGCCCACAUGUACUUUAGGUGGCACAGGAAGGAUGAACAAAAAGAGGAAGAUGAAGAAGAAGAAGGGGAAGACAAGACGGGAGCAGGAGGCCCCUUUUUUCCCUCCCUUUUGAGCAGCUGACAGGUGGGAGGACACAGAAUGAGGAAGAGCAAAAAACUGCAGGCGGGGAGCACCUUUAAUCCUCCAGAACAUUGGACUGAAUCUGUUUUGUUUAAGCCGUUUGUCAGGUAAAAAGUAAUUAUGGCUUUUGGAAAUUGGAAUACACCUAAAUCCUGUAGUACUUAGAAAAAAAGUGUCUUGUAUUUAGCAAUAAAGAAACACUGUUUGUUGAAAGGCUGAACUCUUGGUGCUACAAUCUUUCAAAGACAAAGCAACAGACUGAAGAUGUACAAGGAGAUUGCUUUAUCUUUAGUGGCCACAUGAGCACACACACGGGGACACACCAACAACCCAUCCUCUGCAGUGGCUCCUUCUUCCCCUGAAUGAAUGGAAGCCUCAGUUCCCUUUGGCUCCCGGCCCUCUUCAUGCCCCGCUGCUGACUGGCAGAUUGGAAGAAACAAAUUGCUGCGUCCUCAGAAUGAUAAUGAGCGAAGCAAUGAAAGUUGUUUUGUUUCAGGAAGCCUGUGAAGCCAAACCUUUGGCUCACCUGGCUGAUUUUUGAUGCUCUGAUGCUAAAGAGCAAAUUAUUUGAUGUUAUGCAGUGCUUCCAUUUACAAAAUUGCAAAGGAUUUUGCUGUUAUUUCUUAAAGUAUCUAUCUAAAAAUGGUGAUGGGAUGCAGGGCAGAAUGUCCAGGAUUGGUUUGGGCCUUAAAAAUAAAAGCCUCCUUUGACGUCUUUGAGAAAUCUCCAUCUCCACCCAUAUUGUAUCUGAGGUGUGAUAGCAAAGAACUUGGUGGCAUUUUAAUAAUCAAGUCUCUCGAGUGAAGAGUUCCCUCCCCUCACGCGCUGCCGCCUCUGGUACUGCUCCAGAGUCUCUAUCAACAAGUCAAUAGAGGCUGUAGCCUGCCAAGACAUUAGCUAGGAAGCCAUGGAGGUGUGCAGGGCUUAUUAUAAGCCUCUUAGUGAUUCUGCAGGAGGUGAAGAAAUGGUCUCUGUUAGGGGAAUCAAUCCUUGGGUAAUUACCUAGCCACACUCCAGGCUGCUGAAGAGGACUAGAACUGGGCUGAGACUGUGAAGACUACUGAGCUCCAGCUCAAUAAGAGCCUCUAAGGAGUGUCCAUUGUCUCAGACUUAAGAGAGGGGAGACGGUUGAUAAUGAUAAUGAUGAUGACGAUGAUGAUGAUAAAUACACAGCCAGUAAUCAAGUGGUGUUUGAUGGACACAAGUGCACAGCGAGGCUCAUCAGGCGUUAGCUGCACACAGACAAACGAUCUAUAAUCCAUCCAUCCUCUAGACUUGAUUCUCCUCUUAUGGGUCUUUACCUGCACACAAUUUCAGAGAGGAAAAGCAUGGAAAUAAAACAAGAAAAAAACAUUCAUCCUGUUUUUGAUCCUCCUCCAUAAGUUUCCUGUUCGCUGAAAUCCCAACUUUAGAUCAAAAAUAAGAUUCCCUUUUCUUUUUUGGCCAAGGUAAACAUCAUGUCAAACUGGGGAAAAACAGAAUGACCUUUAUAUCAGACAUUCAUCUCAGAUUUUUUGUUUUGUUGUCAUCUGAAACAGAAGAGAUUUUCUUAAAGAUUAUUGAUUAACAAUGCAUUGCUUCUUUUUCAAACUAGUCAGAAUAAUAUGUAUCCUUCUGGUCUAGAAGACAGACCCAUUGAGACCUCACUUGCUAACCAGAGCUUCCAAUUAAACUGUUUUUAUGUAGACCCUUACAAAAAACAUCUAGUAAUCUGCAACCACCCCAUUCUAAUGUUUAAUAUUCAAUUAAAAACCUAGAAAUAUAUUUUUUGAAAAAACACAUUUGAUUAGUUCUUCUUAAAAACCCA
ensembl:lncRNA